UUUCACCAUAAUAACAUUCACACCUGUUCAUUCUCUCUUGUUGUAAAAUGUGCUUCACAUGUUCUUACAACUGUGUGUAAGAUAGAGAGAACCUUAUCUUAAAGCUACCAUCUCUCCCUCAGUCUUCUCUCUGGAAAAACAACUCUUUCUUUUAUCAGCUCAAUAUUCCAUCACAAUUUAUACCUCACUCUGUUUUCUGACCCAAGAUCUUCAAUACAAGAGUUCAGAUACCACUCGAUGGAGUAUACAAGUGACAUUGGAAAUAAUAGACGCCACUCCACCUAGAAAUGUGACUAUAAAUGUAACUUGUUCAUUUUUCAUUAACGACCUUAUGAUGCCCUUUUAAUGUUGUGUUUAUUUAUAAAUUAUUUUAAUAUUUAUAAAUGAAAUUUUGCAUUUGUAUUAUUUAGGAGA
rnacentral:sRNA from 1 species